rnacentral:rRNA from 1 species
UACAGAGGUCUCAAGCGUUGUUCGGAUUCAUUGGGCGUAAAGGGUGCGUAGGCGGCGCGGUAAGUCGGGUGUGAAAUUUCGGAGCUUAACUCCGAAACUGCAUUCGAUACUGCGGUGCUUGAGGACUGGAGAGGAGACUGGAAUUCAUGGUGUAGCAGUGAAAUGCGCAGAUAUCAGGAGGAACACCGGUGGCGAAGGCGGUUCUCUGGGCAUUACCUGACGCUGAGGAGCGAAAGUGUGGGGAGCGAACAGG